AGGUUGCGGCAAUAACAGGUCUGUGAUGCCCUUAGAUGUCCCGGGCUGCACACGUGCUACAAUGAGUGGCGCAAUGUGUGCAAUUUUGUAAGGGAUAAGAGUGUGGUCAGUAUGCCGUCGGGGAUUCCCCCUGACGUCUCCUAGCACACGAUUAUCAGCCUUUCCUUAACAGGGCGGGUAACCUUUUCAAAAUACCAGUUUGAUUUUAAAGCUUUGGGUCAAUUAGGGUGAUGGUUCGAUAGAACCAAUAUCACCCAGCUGCUACUCGUGCGCGCGUGUUAUUCCUGGUGACUCAUGGUGGGGACCGACAUUUGUAAUUGUCUGUCGCGUGUUAACCGGGAAUGCCUUGUACUGUCGAUUCACUAAGUUAUGGGGAAUACGUCCCUGCCCUUUGUACACACCGCCCGUCGCUCUUAC
rnacentral:rRNA from 1 species